UACAGAGGUCUCAAGCGUUGUUCGGAUUCAUUGGGCGUAAAGGGUGUGUAGGUGGCGCCGUAAGUCGGGUGUGAAAUUUCGGAGCUUAACUCCGAAACUGCAUUCGAUACUGCGGUGCUUGAGGACUGGAGAGGAGACUGGAAUUCAUGGUGUAGCAGUGAAAUGCGUAGAGAUCAUGAGGAAGACCAGUGGCGAAGGCGGGUCUCUGGACG
rnacentral:rRNA from 1 species